CAGUAAAAUGUAAUAAUUAAUAUAUUAUCACCAGACUUUGAGCCUCAUUUGUUAAAAAAACAAUGAUAAAUGCUCAAAAGUCAACUUUGAAUCUGCUUUAUCAUUUUAAUCUGCUUUCCCUAUCAUUUUUAGUUAAACUCUAGAAGAGAAAAAUGUUUUCAGUUUUAUUUUUCCUGCUGUUACUUUCUUCAUGUUACUUGUCAGAGCCACCCAUAAAAAAAGAACAAGCAAAACCAUUAGAAUGGAUUAUUAAAACGCCGUGCAUUAAAUCCUAUGUGCUCAUCAAAGGAAUAUGUCGAAUUAUUGUAAUCCAUAGAAAUUACACCAUAUCACAUCAAACAGGUAAGUCGUCAUCACGCUUAAAACCAUAACCACGCCUUGAUUCGCCAAAUGGUUUUCGUUCAGAAUCUUCCCGCCUAUCACCAAAAGGUCUUCUACUGCUAUCGAAAUCAUCAUGUCGUCGGUCACCAAAUGGUCGUCGUCCACCAUCAACGUCAUCAGAACGUCUAUCGCCAAAAGGCCUUCUUCCACUCUCAAAUUCAUCGGGUCGACGGUCACUGAAUGGUCUUCUGCCAGCCGGAACAUCAUCACUGACAUUUUGCCUACUUCCUCUCCACGGUCCACUGUCUCUUUCGCUGUCGUGAUCUUUGUCAAAAGCACCACCUCCUUGUCUUCUUGUGAAACCUAUUAAUUAUAAUCACGUAAAUUAAUAAAUUUUGUUGCUAAUAAUAAA